rnacentral:snRNA from 1 species
GUCGGCAAAAUGGAUCCG